rnacentral:sRNA from 1 species
CCGACGCCAGGGACGUCUUGGAGAACAAGUUGCUCCCGUUGAGAAGAGGCUACAUUGGCGUGGUGAACCGCAGCCAGAAGGAUAUUGAAGGCAAGAAGGACAUCCGUGCAGCACUGGCAGCUGAGAGGAAGUUCUUCCUCUCCCACCCGGCCUACCGGCACAUGGCCGACCGCAUGGGCACGCCACAUCUGCAGAAGACGCUGAAUCAGCAACUGACCAACCACAUCCGGGAGUCGCUGCCGGCCCUACGUAGCAAACUACAGAGCCAGCUGCUGUCCCUGGAGAAGGAGGUGGAGGAGUACAAGAACUUUCGGCCCGACGACCCCACCCGCAAAACCAAAGCCCUGCUGCAGAUGGUCCAGCAGUUUGGGGUGGAUUUUGAGAAGAGGAUCGAGGGCUCAGGAGAUCAGGUGGACACACUGGAGCUCUCCGGGGGCGCCCGAAUCAAUCGCAUCUUCCAUGAGCGGUUCCCAUUUGAGCUGGUGAAGAUGGAGUUUGACGAGAAGGACUUACGACGGGAGAUCAGCUAUGCCAUUAAGAACAUCCAUGGAGUCAGGCAAGUUCCACGAGGAGAGUCACCACUGUUCCUUCCUCUCCGCGGUGCCACCCCCCAGCUAAUUGGGUCGCCCACACCUCUGAGUCCCUAAUCGUUAGGCCUUAAGAGGGCUCUUGGAUGGUCUUCUGUAGCUGCGAGCCCCUCCCUGAGGGUCUCCAAGGGCACGUGAGGGUGGAUGUGUCUUAGUCCUGCGUCCGUUGCAGGCUUCGGGGCUGUCUGCAGCUCCUGAUCAAAUAGGGCUUAGUUCCUGCCCAGUCGGUUGGUGUGAACCUCAUGCUAAACUAAGAAUGCUCACUGCAGAUUUGCC